rnacentral:tRNA from 1 species
GCCUCGGGCUCAGCCUGGUUAGAGCACCACAUUGGUAAUGUGGGGGUCCCGGGUUCAAAGCCCGGCCGAGGCU